rnacentral:snRNA from 1 species
CCCCUCCCUCCCCCCCCGCUCCAUGUGCGUCCCUCCCGAAGCUGCGCGCUCGGUCGAAGAGGACGACCUUCCCCGAUAGAGGCGUACCGUUCAUCGGUCAAGGGUAUACGGUAGCUGCGCUCCCCUGCUAGAACCUCCAAACAAGCUCAAGGUCCAUUUGUAGGAGAACGUAGGGUAGUCAAGCUUCCAAGACUGCAGACACAUCCAAGUGAGGCACUGCAUGGGGCAGUCUGCCAUUGUUU